rfam:Schistosoma mattheei strain Denwood, Zambia genome assembly, scaffold: SMTD_scaffold0006749
AUCCAAGUGAGGAGUCCCAAAUAGGACGAAACAUACGUCCUGUAU